CAACCCUCAAGCACAGCUUGGUAUUGGGUGUUACCUGGCAAAAUAGGUGCACCUUAAAAUCAGUGGUGGUGACAUCUGGCUUCAAGCGUAGUAAAUCUCUUGCUUUGGAGGUUUGGAUGUGCACUUGCCAUCAACCCCUAAUUUUAUCAAAAA
rnacentral:misc_RNA from 1 species